GCGGCUCGGCCUGGCCAGCCGCCAGGCGCAUGCCCACCCCCAAAGCAGGGGGGACGGGUGAGAGGAGAAGCCCGCGGCGAAUGGAUGUGCCCGCCCUGCUUCCUGGGAGAGCACCCACCCUGCAACCAACGGGGCUGGCGAGAGGCGAAGCCUGCAGCCGGCCUAGCCGGCUGUGGGGUGUGUGGACAAGCCCGCCCUGCUGCCUGCAGGGCGGGCAAGGAUGAAGCCUGCGGCUCGACUCGUGGAGCCACAGUGCAAGGGCAGAAGAGCCGCAUGCGGCUCUUGAGCCGCAGGUUCCCUAUCCCUGAGCUAAGGGAAG